AACGAACGCUGGCGGCAGGCUUAACACAUGCAAGUCGAACGCCCCGCAAGGGGAGUGGCAGACGGGUGAGUAACGCGUGGGAAUCUACCCAGUUCUACGGAACAACUGAGGGAAACUUCAGCUAAUACCGUAUACGCCCUAAGGGGGAAAGAUUUAUCGGAAUUGGAUGAGCCCGCGUUGGAUUAGCUAGUUGGUGAGGUAACGGCUCACCAAGGCGACGAUCCAUAGCUGGUCUGAGAGGAUGAUCAGCCACACUGGGACUGAGACACGGCCCAGACUCCUACGGGAGGCAGCAGUGGGGAAUAUUGGACAAUGGGCGCAAGCCUGAUCCAGCCAUGCCGCGUGAGUGAUGAAGGCCUUAGGGUUGUAAGGCUCUUUUACCCGGGAUGAUAAUGACAGUACCGGGAGAAUAAGCCCCGGCUAACUCCGUGCCAGCCGCCGCAGUAAUAC
rnacentral:rRNA from 1 species